UGGUGGAGAGGCAGAGCAAAGGCAGCUGGAUAAAUUCAUAGCUGUGGAAUUCCUGGAUCAAAUGGUACUCGGAGAAUUAAAGCUGACUGGACUCAGUUCCUGGAAUUUUCUAGAAUUGUAGAAGUGGAAAAUAUAUUAAAGGAGACCUGCCCUGAAACGGACUUGCGCUGCAAUGUACAAACUCACCCUCUAAUGUCCCGUGGCCAAACAGCACAAGCACAGCAGUUACCCCUACAGCACAAAGACUCUUCACUUUGCACACGGAUAAACACCAGGGCCACAAACGUGCCCCACAGCACACAUUUCGCCACAUCACCCAGCCUCCCCCAGAGGCACACAUAUCCUCCCCGCAGCCAAAAGUCUCACUAAAAGAUGCAAGUCUGCACCCCCCGUGACACAGAGACACUACCCCAGACACACAGACCAUCACAGCCCCUCCGACUGUCCCCACGUCACACAGAGCCUUUCCCUGGCACACGUGGAGCCCACAGACACAGCCCACAGAACACAGAUUCUUCCAAAAGCAAGCAUCUUCUCAAGGCCCAAAGACUCACUCCAGAGGUCACAGACAUGCCCUCCCACUCACUAAUAUGCCCCAUGACACAACACUCUUACCACACAGCAGGGACUCAGUCCGUGGCACAUAGGCGCCCCAUGAAACAAAGGCUGUCCCCACAGCACCCAGAUUUCUCCAAUGCCCCACCCAGUAAACCCAUAGCUGAGGUCCUCCGCAGGGCGUAGACUCUGUUUGCAUCUCCCUGA